GAUGAACGCUGACAGAAUGCUUAACACAUGCAAGUCUUUGGCGAAGCUGUGCUUGCACAGCCUAGCCAAGGCGGACGGGUGAGUAACGCGUAAGGAACUUGCCCUGCAGUCAGGGAUAACAGACGGAAACGACUGAUAAGACCUGGUAAAGUCAGGCGGACUCAUGUCCAGCCUGAUGAAAAGAGAUGCUGCAGGAGAGCCUUGCGUCCUAUUAGCUUGUUGGUGGGGUAACGGCCCACCAAGGCGAUGAUAGGUAGCCGGCCUGAGAGGGUGGACGGCCACAAGGGGACUGAGAGACGGCCCUGACGCCUACGGGAGGCAGCAGUGGGGAAUAUUGGACAAUGGGGGCAACCCUGAUCCAGCAAUUCUGUGUGCACGAUGAAGGUUUUCGGAUUGUAAAGUGCUUUCAGCAGGGAAGAAAAAAAUGACGGUACCUGCAGAAGAAGCGACGGCUAAAUACGUG
rnacentral:rRNA from 1 species